rnacentral:rRNA from 1 species
GACGAACGCUGGCGGCGUGCUUAACACAUGCAAGUCGAACGGUAAGGCCCUUCGGGGUACACGAGUGGCGAACGGGUGUGUAACACGUGGGUGAUCUGCCCUGCACUUCGGGAUAAGCCUGGGAAACUGGGUCUAAUACCGGAUAGGACUCCUGGCUUCAUGGUUGGGGGUGGAAAGCUUUUGCGGUGUGGGAUGGGACCGCGGCCUAUCAGCUUGUUGGUGGGGUAAUGGCCUACCAAGGCGACGACGGGUAGCCGGCCUGAGAGGGUGACCGGUCACACUGGGACUGGGAUACGGCCCAGACUCCUACGGGAGGCAGCAGUGGGGAAUAUUGCACAAUGGGCGCAAGCCUGAUGCAGCGACGCCGCGUGAGGGAUGACGGCCUUCGGGUUGUAAACCUCUUUCAGCUAUGACGAAGCGCAAGUGACGGUAGUAGCAGAAGAAGGACCGGCCAACUACGUGCCAGCCGCCGCGGUAAAAC